UACAGGGGGGGCAAGCGUUGUUCGGAAUUACUGGGCGUAAAGGGUCUGUAGGUGGCCAACUAAGUCAGACGUGAAAUCCCUCAGCUUAACUGGGGAACUGCGUCUGAUACUGGAUGGCUCGAGUGUGGGAGAGGAAUGCGGAAUUCCAGGUGUAGCGGUGAAAUGCGUAGAUAUCAAGUGGAACACCAGUGGCGAAGGCGAAUCCCUGGAAAAUACCUGACACUGAGGCACGAAAGCUAGGGGAGCAAACAGG
rnacentral:rRNA from 1 species